rnacentral:tRNA from 1 species
UGGAUCACCUCCUAACAGGGAGACAACAAAAUGUUUAAUAUUAUUAUUUUGUCACCUUAGGUCGAUCGGUAUCUCACGUUCUUAAUUUGUUAAGAAUUUCAUUUCCUAAGUUUUUCUAGGUCACACCCAUUAUUUUUCCUGGGCCAUUAGCUCAGGUGGUUAGAGCGCACCCCUGAUAAGGGUGAGGUCCCUGGUUCAAGUCCAGGAUGGCCCAUAUCUCUAUGUUGGGGGUAUAGCUCAGUUGGUAGAGCGCCUGCUUUGCAAGCAGGAUGUCAGCGGUUCGAGUCCGCUUACCUCCACUGAUUACCACCUCUUCCAUAACCGGUAGAAAGGAAAUGUUUUGAGUUGUGAUCAUUAUUCUGAACGAAUCUAGCUUCCUAAUGAAAUCAUUAAGAUGCUGGACUCAUUGAAUUAAUUUCAUUGUUUUCAGAGAACCUUGACAACUGCAUAGAUUUUUUUUAAAGACAAUAAGCAUCUUUAAUGAUGCAGAUUUAUUAUUUGUGCGAAUGCAUUAAUAACAAUUCUAUUAAGCUGAUGCUUCAAUUUUUGAAGUUAUUGGUCAAGCUACAAAGGGCUCACGGAGGAUACCUAGGCACACAGAGGCGAUGAAGG